rnacentral:rRNA from 1 species
UACAGAGGUCUCAAGCGUUGUUCGGAUUCAUUGGGCGUAAAGGGUGCGUAGGUGGCGAGGUUAGUCAGGUGUGAAAUCUCGGGGCUCAACCCCGAAACUGCACUUGAUACUGCCUUGCUAGAGUACUGGAGAGGAGAUUGGAAUUUACGGUGUAGCAGUGAAAUGCGUAGAUAUCGUAAGGAAGACCAGUGGCGAAGGCGAAUCUCUGGACAGUUACUGAC